ensembl:misc_RNA Y_RNA Y RNA
GGCUGGUCCAAGUACAGUGGUGCUCACAAUUAACUGAUCACAGCCAGUUACAGGUUUCUUUAUUGAGGAGGAAAUGGCAACCCACUCCAGUAUUUUUGCCUAGA